rnacentral:rRNA from 1 species
UACGUAGGGAGCAAGCGUUGUCCGGAAUCAUUGGGCGUAAAGCGCGCGUAGGUGGUUGUUUAAGUCUGCUGUGAAAGCCCCGGGCUCAACCUGGGAAUUGCAUUCGAGACUGAAUAGCUAGGGUACGGUAGAGGGAAGCGGAAUUUCCGGUGUAGCGGUGAAAUGCGUAGAUAUCGGAAGGAACAUCAGUGGCGAAAGCGGCUUCCUGGACCAGUACCGACGUUCAGGCACGAAAGCGUGGGGAGCAAACAGG